UAUAUAUAUAUAAUUAUAUAUAUAUUGAAGUUUACUCAGAUUCUAUUUCCCCAUCUACAAAUGGAAGAGAUCACUGCACUAAAAAGAGAUCAUCUAUGUAAUGCAUUUAUCAGAGUGCUUGCUGCAGAGUACUGUGUAUGAUCAAAUGUCUAUUAAGGAAAUGAACAUUACAUGCCUAUAUUUAUACCUUGGUGAUGAUUAUGUACAUAUAUAUGUGUGUGUAAGUGUGUCAUGUAUACGUAUGUUAUUGACUUUAUAUAUCUACUCCCAUUGCUCUUGUUCAUGUGUAGUUUCCAAAUAAUUUGAGGGAUAUGUGUAUGAUUUUUUUCAAUUUAUUUUUUUCAAUCCAUCAAACUUAAGGAAUCAGAAAAUUUACACAUUCAAACUGACUAAACGAUAAACUCUGAGAUGAUUAUAACUGUCACGACCUGUUACAUUUUGUAGACCAGCCAGUGAGCCAAUGACUCAUCUCAAAGUAAAGAGCCCCUGGUUCAUGGAAGCAUUACUGAACAGUGACUGCAGUCCAAAAUGAAAGCCAAAUUUAUCCCUGGUUAAUCUGAGACUUUUUGAAGAAAGUUUGUAUUUGUGGUGAGAUAAAACUAAUCAGGCAACAUUGAAUGUGUCCCUAAAUUCGUUAUCACUAGCCCAACUCUCUUGCAUGGUGUUCCUGGAUCUCUUGCUUUUCCUUUAAUGCUUAGCUCCACCGCACUUGGGAUAGGCAGUCUUUACCAGUGAUGUGAGCCCAAGAGCCACUCAAUCAUUCAACCUGUAAAUACGCAAAAUGAGAUAACAGCCAUGCAUGGGGGAGAGGUAUGUGCUCUUGAUAUUCCCAAUCUGAACUCUUUCCCCCUUUUAGAUGUAUUAUUAUUUUUUUAAAUAUUCACUUCUAUAAUACUUGCCAUAUACUAACUUGUGACCCAUUUAACACAACAGGAAAAUAACAACUGGGGCUGACCAGAAAUUGAAUCCAACCUACAGAGCUGGGGAGGAGCCCAGACUGUGGCCAGAAUGUGGUCUGCAAGGGCAGGCACCAGGCCAGACAGGACCAAUCAGGAAUUGGAAGAUCCAAACAGAUGCAGUAUAGGAGUCUUCCCAGAAAGAAAAAGCAUCAGCUUCCCAACUGCCAUGUGCAAUGAAGUCAAAGUCAAGCUCUCUUUUCUGCCUUCACUCCCUUUAUUUCAGUUAGGACUACAGUAUCCCAGUAAAUGUGUAAUAUCCUAAACUAACUUUUCAUCUGGAGUGAAUAAAUGACAUUUGUGUGAAAGGUUCAUAUAUGCUCACAGUACCAAUACGCUUUACUUACAAAACUGUAGGUAGUAAGUAUAAAUAUCAAAAUUUCUUUCCUGAAAAUGUAUUAGAAAUAAAUGUAUCCUGAAAAUGAUUCUGAACCUCUGCCAGCUGUUUUGGUUCAGUUUUAAAUUCAAUAGCAAUGUCCUAGACUAUUUAGACCUCAUUAACGGACCCAGGAGUGCAUUAACUUUGUAAGUGGCUAAUUGGUAUUUAUUCCUUUUCACAUGAUAUUUUAAACAGAUUGACAAGGAGCAGUAUGAUAAAAUACUCGGCCUCAUUGAGAGUGGGAAGAAACAAGGAGCCAAACUGGAAUUGGGCGGAGGCCCCUGGGGGAACAAAGGCUACUUCAUCCAGCCCACAGUUUUCUCCAAUGUGACAGAUGAGAUGCGCAUUGCCAAAGAGGAGAUAUUUGGACCAGUGCAACAAAUCAUGAAGUUUAAAACUUUAGAUGAAGUGAUCAAGAGAGCAAACAAUACGACCUAUGGCUUAGCAGCAGGAAUCUUUACCAAAGACCUUGACAAAGCAGUGACAGUCUCCUCUGCUCUGCAGGCG